GCGUGAGUGAUGAAGGCCUUAGGGUUGUAAAGCUCUUUCGGCGGGGACGAUGAUGACGGUACCCGCAGAAGAAGCCCCGGCUAACUUCGUGCCAGCAGCCGCGGUAAUACGAAGGGGGCGAGCGUUGUUCGGAAUUACUGGGCGUAAAGGGCGCGUAGGCGGCGCCGGAAGUCAGAUGUGAAAGCCCCGGGCUCAACCUGGGAACUGCAUUUGAUACUCUGGUGCUGGAGUUCGGGAGAGGAGAGUGGAAUUCCCAGUGUAGAGGUGAAAUUCGU
rnacentral:rRNA from 1 species